GGGGAUUUAGCUCAGUGGUAGAGCGCUUGCCUAGGAAGCGUAAGGCCCUGGGUUCGGACCCCAGCUCCG
rfam:Rattus norvegicus chromosome 20, whole genome shotgun sequence.